AGCCUGUGGAGGACGCGUCUGUGUGGACGACGUAGAUGUGAUGUGGAUGCAGGAAUAUUCUAGCACUUUGUGAAAUCGAACCAUUGUGUGUUUAUCACAGUGGAGCAGUGGAGAAUUCGAAACGUGGUCUCGCGUGACGCCCUGGAUGCAGCUGUUUAUUGGCAGUAAACAUUCACACCUUAUCACACUCAACAAUGAGUUGUGGUCACAGCAGUUCCUGCCCUGGGUACUGAAUGUCCAUCCAGUCGGUGGAACUGAUGCGUCAAGAGAGUAAACAAACUAUUAUCCCCCGUUCAAGUGACGCCGUUCUAACGCUGAUAGGCGAUUGGAUGACUUCAUCGCUCGAAAUGUUCUCCACAGGCCCUCACCCUCCAUCGGGGCGCAUUUUAUUGAAUUGUCGAUCAUUGCAGGGCACGUAUUUGGCGGUUUCAAUUGCAGCACUAAGCGCUGAGUUAACUGUCUAAAACCAUUUAAUGGUAAUGUCCCACUGCUUAUCUGCUAGAACGGCCACCCUAUACAAGUGCCAGUACAGGGCUGAGUACUGGCUGGAGGACGUGGUCGUCGUCUUGGCACUGGAGCUUAUCUAUGGUUUAUUUUUCCACCCUCCGUGCUUCGAUGGUUCAUUUAGUGAGCUAAUGAAAUCCAUAACCCACCGUUGUCCCGGGCUUGGUGACUCCCCGCGUCUGGCUGGAAUGUGUUGACAGAGGGGAACACACACCACACAUCCCCAGUAUCGAGGGGGCCUGAGUGCCAGACACCGUGAAACCUUGCAGUGGAUUUACACCAUUUACUGUACAGCUCGACAAGGGCUGUUGUUGUUGAGCUGUAGUGGUGACAUGUACAGGUCCCCAUCCCCCGUUGAGUGAGCACACAAAUUAACGACAAUCCUAACACUAAUCACCACGCUAAUGGAGAAUGUUCUGCACGGCUCACACACUGCCAUGGUGCCACACCACCGAAACGGAACCUUUUGGUUUCAAUAUGAAGAAUAAUCAAUUUGAUUGAUUGACCCACAUCUCUCUCUCACCAACUCAGUGUGUUGGCGUGGCCGCGGGUGGUGUGAUGGGUUCGUUGAUUUGAACUCCCCGUCAACAAAACAGAGAUCCCAAAAUAUGGAUGACUUCACAGUGCGGCAAAUGAUCUCAUGCACACAGAAAGACAGAGCGAUCACGUUUUCGCCGUAGCCCUACUCAGCGAGAAGCCUCUCCGUUCAGCUCGCUUUUAAGGGCCGAUGAUAAGCGACUCACUGACGAAGCGAAAACACUCCACUGGUGGAUGAGUUGGGUGACUGGAGCUAGCAGCGAUCCAGUUACUGCAGUGCGUGAAUGCUCCGUGAAAUCCUCUCCUCACACAAAAACGAGCCGCGGAAGGAAGUCUCUGCUUAACCGAACCGAGUUGAUUGAUGUGACAUGGGAAAUGGGUGCGUGUGUGUUAGACCCUACACCCUACACAACCCCCCGCAGAUGACGGUGUAUGGCAGUUUGCUUUUGCUGCCCGCACAGGAAAUACGUCAUCAUGAACGCGUUGGGUCCAACACGGCACGACGACAACUCCUGCUAUCUUUUCACAUCGGUGUAUGUGGAACCGUUGCAACCGGUGCAAGCGUUAUCUUCUUUCCCUUGUAGGCUAGGCUGGGGGCUGCAGAGAAGGUGCAGACGGGCCACGGCCGGAGAACGUGAGUAAGUGGGCCUGUUCGAGCAGCAAAAGGGAGAGCACCACACCUUGUCGUGGUUGGCGCGUUGGGUCCAAUCGAUAGAUAGCCGCUAUCAGGAGCGUUCCAAAUUCCAUUAGUCGGCGAAGAAUGGCGUAGAAAGAGCCAAUGGAGAUAUAGGAAGGUGAAACGAGCGUCCCUUAGUCGCAACGGGGGAAUGAAUUUUGAAGCUUCCCAGACAGGCGGAAACCGAUCGGAUUAAAGUAUUACGGACAAGGCAACGCAGCGUUUGGGGCCAAAAUAAAGCAACCCAAUUGACUCAUUGGAUUUCAUAGUGGCCCUCGACCGCCUAACACACACACCUUUGCCAUUGAACACGGCCGGCGCCUAUCUUUCUCGGUCAAUAGUAAACUCUUUGCUCGAUUUUCUCCUCGAUUUAAAACAUUUAUCUACAAUCUUCGACAUCCAGGAAAGAAAGCAACGACGACCACGACGAAAGUGCUCUCAAAUAUAAUUAAACCAGCUGCCCCAGCCCUGGCCUAACCUAGCCGACCGAAUAGAAAGCAAUUAAUCAUAUCCUACCAUCCCAAACGGUACUCGCGCCUUGCGGAAGUUCGCAAAAGCCACAACAAAAAACCCUCACAAGGGUGAUCAUUCGAAGCUCAGCGUGUCCAUGUCGAUACGCGAUUGAAGGUGCCGAAUGUUUUGGCGAUUUUACAUUUGGCGCUAUUAACUUCUCCAUCACGGACCAUCAUCACGGAGAUGGGGGAUGGGGGGAGAGAGUAGUUUGGGGAGCACAAUAAUUAAUAUCACAUGCUAAUGGGGGUAAAGGGAAAUGCGCUCCGACGUGCGGGGUUCGGUAGGUUAACAGGCGUGUAAAUGGAUAUAUGGAAGCGAUAGGACAAAGGUGGUUCAGCGGAAGAGUGGCGACGACCUCACCUUACAAAAGGGUGGCCAGGCAGUUUCUGCACUAAAUGACCCACUUUCUUAGGCGUUCACUUAAUCGACACUUAAUCACGCGUGCACGGAAGCUGUGGAGUGUAGAGAGACACGUCUUUGUGUGCCACGGGUACAUUGUUUUGGAAUUGGUGAUGAGUGCGAUAAAGGCAGAUAACAUCAGCAACUCCAAACCUCACGUUACAAGAAACAAUAAAUCAGAUUUUAUCCAA